rnacentral:rRNA from 1 species
CACGUAGGGUGCGAGCGUUGUCCGGAAUUAUUGGGCGUAAAGAGCUCGUAGGCGGUUCGUCGCGUCGGCUGUGAAAACCCGGAGCUCAACUCCGGGCCUGCAGUCGAUACGGGCGGACUUGAGUGUUGCAGGGGAGACUGGAAUUCCUGGUGUAGCGGUGAAAUGCGCAGAUAUCAGGAGGAACACCGGUGGCGAAGGCGGGUCUCUGGGCAACUGACUGACGCUGGAGGAGCGAAAGCGUGGGGAGC